rnacentral:rRNA from 1 species
GCCAGAGGAGGCAAUCGUUAUCCGGAAUUAUUGGGCGUAAAGCGUUCGUAGGUGGUUUGACAAGUCUGGGGUUAAAGCCCGGAGCCCAACUCCGGAUCGGCCCUGGAAACUGUCAGACUUGAGUAAGGUAGGGGUUGCGGGAAUUCCCGGUGUAGCGGUGAAAUGCGUAGAUAUCGGGAAGAACACCAGCGGCGAAAGCGCGCAACUGGGCCAUUACUGACACUGAGGGACGAAAGCUAGGGGAGAGAAUGGG